CGCAGCCAGUGCCUGAGGCGGCGGCUGCGGGCCGAGGUACCAAGGGGCGGCGGUGGCAGGGCCGCAGUGCCCAGGGGCGGCGGUGGCAGGGCCGCAGUGCCCAGGGGCGGCGGUGGCAGGGCCGCAGUGCCCAGGGGCGGCGGCGGCGGGAGCGAGGCCCUCCCUCGGUCGGCAGCGCGCGGCUGGGCUGGUGGAGACCCGCCUCCCCUCCGCGCCACCCCCGCUCCAGCGCGCCCCGCGCCGCGGGCCAGGAGGGUUGGGGACGCCGCGCUGGACGCAGGCCGCGGCCCUCGCGGGGGCUCCGAGGAUCCCGCACCCUCCCGCGGACACACCCCGGGGCGGGGCGGGCGGCGGCGGGCGUGCAGGGCAGGGGGACCGCGGUGCGGGGCGCGGCCUCUGCGGGGCGGCCAGCCGCGGCGGCCCGGGCGCAGGACCCGGAUCCAUUUGUCUCCGGCCGAGCUGGACUCGGGCUGCCCGCCGGCGCCGCUGCUCCCCGCCUGUGCUCGGGAGGAGUUCGCCGCUGCGCGGAGCGGGUGGCGUCUGACCCCGUCCUGCGUGUCGCCCUUGGUGCAGCGCGGGGAAGGAGUCACGCUGUAGUGUGUUUGAUUCAUCAUUCGUGGAAGGGACCAUCGCCUUCCCCUUUCUGUUGACCAGUUCCCAUCCCGCUGCUACCCUGGUGUUCUUCUCCUAGAUUUUGCAAACUACCAACAAAGAAGUACAGCGAGUCCAGUAAACAGCCCCUGACUGCCUUGCAGGGCGAGCUGGGAGCGCUUCCUUGGAGACGCUGUUCCACCAAGCUAGCCUCAGAGCCUUUGGGCCAAAAUGAAGGGUAUCACUCCAUCAAGUGCAUAAAGUCUCUUUUUCUCCCUUUCUAGGGUGAAAAGGUUUCAAAAAUCGAUAUUAAAUUAUUAAAAUCUGGCUGCUUGGGAAUUACGACCAUAGAAGAAAAUAAUUCAAAAGGGAAAUAGAAUGAGUAUCUUUGAGGGGUAAGUGUCCCAACUUCUUGCAAGUGCCAGAGAUGAGGUGUAUGGAUUUUUGAGAUUAAUGGGUGAACUGUAAAUAAGCUUUUAAUAUAUGGUGUUUUGCACUAAGAUAUUUUUGUUUCGUUUUAGUUACUUAUGGAAAUUCUGGAUUACCUGGACAUCUUAAGACCCAGGAACCCGUUUAUUAAGAAUCUGCUGUCUUGAAAAUUGCCUUUUAUGAAUGCUUUGAAUUAAGAAGGUGUAAACAGUGGUUUGUCAUUUCUGCCACAUAAUAGAUAAUCUGAAUCAGUUCCCUCGCAGUUGCCCUGAUGCCUAAAACUGGCAAGAACUAGUCCUUGGAGUGAUCAUCCUUCAACAGGAAACACAGAGCUAUCUAUGUACUAUAUAAAUGUUAUCUCUUUGAUGACAUUUAAGAUAAUGGACAGCUUUUCUACAUCUAAUUUUCAUACACACAAUUAACA
rnacentral:lncRNA from 1 species